rnacentral:rRNA from 1 species
AUGGCUCAGAUUGAACGCUGGCGGCAGGCCUAACACAUGCAAGUCGAGCGGAAACGAGUUAUCUGAACCUUCGGGGAACGAUAACGGCGUCGAGCGGCGGACGGGUGAGUAAUGCCUAGGAAAUUGCCCUGAUGUGGGGGAUAACCAUUGGAACGAUGGCUAAUACCGCAUGAUGCCUACGGGCCAAAGAGGGGGACCUUCGGGCCUCUCGCGUCAGGAUAUGCCUAGGUGGGAUUAGCUAGUUGGUGAGGUAAGGGCUCACCAAGGCGACGAUCCCUAGCUGGUCUGAGAGGAUGAUCAGCCACACUGGAACUGAGACACGGUCCAGACUCCUACGGGAGGCAGCAGUGGGGAAUAUUGCACAAUGG